AAACCAACGAAAUAAUAAAACACCAAAAAUACCGAGUCAAAAACGCCCCCGCGACAAGGUCCCUCGGGCCACCUCCGCGUCCAGCGUCCUCCAACCCCCCCUCCCCUCCCUUCCCGACCCAAUCCGGAGAGCCCGAUCCCGCCAUGGCGUCGGAGAUCGAGGUCCUCGAGGACACGACCGCCGCCGCGGCCGGCGGGGCGGCCGCCGCGGGGGAGGCGGAGGCGGCGGAGGAGGAGUCGCUCAAGGACGACGUCUGCACGGGCGCCGCGUACGGGGACCUCGAGAAGCUGCACCGCCUCGUCGAGCUGGAGGGCCGGUCGGUGACGGAGCCCGACGGCCUCGGCUACCACGCGCUCCAGUGGGCCGCCCUCAACAACCGCGUCGCCGCCGCCCAGUACAUCCUCGAGCAUGGAGCAGAUGUAAAUGCUAUAGACCAUACAGGGCAAACAGCGCUUCACUGGAGUGCAGUGCGUGGUCAUAUUCAAGUUGCAGAACUACUUCUGAAAGAAGGAGCUAAGGUUGAUGCUGCUGAUUUAUAUGGAUAUCAGACCACACAUGUUGCAGCACAGUAUGGUCAGACAGCAUUUCUUUAUCACAUUAUUUCAAAAUGGAAUGCUGAUCCUGAUGUCCCUGACAAUGAUGGCAGAAGUCCUCUUCACUGGGCUGCUUAUAAGGGAUUUGCAGACUCCAUACGCCUCCUUUUGUUUUUGGGUGCUUAUAGGGGGCGGCAAGAUAAAGAAGGUUGUACUCCUUUACAUUGGGCUGCUAUUCGGGGGAAUAUGGAGUCAUGCACUGUGUUAGUUCAGGUUGGUAAGAAGGAGGACCUUAUGGUGCAAGACAAUACUGGGUUAACUCCGGCCCAACUUGCUGCUGAUAAGAGUCACCGGCAAGUUGCAUUUUACCUUGGGAAUGCUAGAAAAGUGCAUGAAAGAGGAUGUGGUGGGAACAAUUAUUUUGGGAAACUAUCAAAAUUAGGACUCGCCCCUGUGCUUUGGUGUAUUAUCAUUGGCUUAAUUGUUGCAUAUAUACAUUCAGUUAUCGCAGGACAAUACAACUCGAAUAUGACAUUACUAUUUGGUUUCUUUUCAUGGUUGGGAGUUUUCCUUGCAAUUGCUGGACUAGUUAUGUUUUAUAGAUGUAGCAGGAAAGAUCCUGGUUACAUCAACAAGAAUAUAAGAGACUCGCAAACUCAAAGAGAUGAUGAACCUUUGUUGAAGAGGGGUCUAGAUAACCCAGAACUUCUGGCUGGCAAUUGGUCUCAACUAUGUAUUACUUGCAAAAUUGUGAGGCCCAUACGCUCAAAACACUGCUCUACAUGUGAUCGCUGUGUUGAGCAAUUUGAUCAUCACUGCCCUUGGGUUUCAAAUUGCAUCGGAAAGAAGAACAAAUGGGAGUUCUUUAUGUUUCUUAUCCUAGAAGUUUCUGCGAUGAUCAUUACUGCUGCAACGGCUGUCAUAAGAGUCGCAGGUGAUCCAGGCUCUCCAGCAUCGUUUGGUGGAUGGCUUAACUAUUCAGCUACGAACCAUCCUUGGGUGGUGUCUUUUGUUAUAAUGGAUCUCUUCCUUUUCUUCGGCGUUAUAACUCUAACAGUAGUUCAAGCAUCACAGAUAUCCGGGAAUAUAACAACAAAUGAGAUGGCAAAUGCCAUGAGGUACAGUUAUCUCAGAGGCCCGGGUGGUCGGUUCAGAAAUCCAUUUGAUCACGGGGUGAGGAAGAAUUGUUCUGACUUCUUCCUGAAGGGGUACAAUGAGGAUAUUGAGAAGGUAGAACAGACGUCACAUCCUGACGAGGAAAUGGCAAUUAUGCACAUGACAAGAAGUGCAGUCUCGCAGAACGGUGAGAGUGUGCCACUUCAUGCUAAUGGUGCUGACCAUGUUUGUGCUGACUCACAAACCAACUCAAAAUCGCAUCGCCAAGUUAGUUCGUCUAAAUGUUGUGAUCACAGUAAGAAGACUGACAAAACCCCUUUGGGCCUAGGGUUGGGCCUUGGACGAAACAAUCCCUCUAGCCGUUAUGCACGGAAUCUUCUCCCCUUGUGACUCAUUUGGAGAAUGGCCCCUUGUUCCCUUGCGAUUCAUUUGGAGAAGAUGCAGAGCCACAGAUUCAGUGAGUAUUGAGAUGGCAAGAGCACAAAAGGAGAUCGAAGUUGUAUGAGAGCUCCAAGCGGCAGAAAAAUUCUGAAGGCAUAAUAUUCUUUUGCGUGCAAAAAAUGCACCAGUGUACAUUAUGUUUGACAUUUUGUAUGUACAUGAAGGGUUGAUAGUUCAGAUGCUGUCCUAUUUCGGAAAAUACAGUUGUACAUUGGAAGAGCUGUAAAUUACGAAGUAACCUAAUGCUGGAACGUGAUUUUUCCUGUUUCUUUUUCGUUUUCAGUGUUGCUCUAAUGAGCGAAGUGUCGGCUUCAUUACCACUUUUUAUGUAACCAUGGAACGAAUUUGUGUGAGUGCCAGUGUUACAUAUGAGACGGUGUGGUCUCUAAUCGCCUUUUCCAGCUCUCUGGAGAUGAAAUAUACUAAAAUGAACCUUGAUAUGGCGAAGGAGUUUGCUGCCCUUUGAGUAUAGUGCGCAAGCGUUUUUUUCUUUCAAACAAACCAUUAAUACCAUUGCGAUUCUUCAGCACCCCAUGC
rnacentral:rRNA from 1 species